GACCGUUGGAUAGCUCAGUUAGCAGAGCAUGAGCCUCUGAACCUCAGGGUCCUGGGUUCAAGCCCCACAUUGGGCA